GCUGUCUGCAGGGAGGCAGGGUGAAAAAGAGAGAGCAAGCAUCAUCGGCCAUGCAGCAGCUGCCAGAGCCUAUGAAACAGCAGUGCUCACACACACAUACGCACACAAAGAUGGCUUUCCCUAUUUGCCAGUUUCUCUUUCACAUAGUAUUAACCCUGACACAGCAGCAGGGAGCAGGGACAGGAGCUGACAAGCAGCAAGUGGGAUCUCAGCAAGGCAAAGAUCUUCUGACUCACAGAGUCUGACCACUUUGGGAGCGGAUUCACUAUAAUAUAAUGAAUUCUUGAGGCUGAUGAAGGUUAAAUUAUUGAAGAAAACAUAUGAAGUUAUGUGGAGUGGAACUUUUGUAUUUCCCUUUCAGCAUUUAAAAGGUUUUACUAAUGAGAAUAAUGAGGAAGAGGAAAAUUUUCAGAAGAUUUUGACAUGAGUGAGAAGAGCCAGAUUUCCCCAAAUGCCUAAUACUUCUUUAUGAAGCUGAAUACAUGGAGAGUACUUUGACCUCCAGGAACUGUCAGCACCAGAUACUUCACUGGAAAGUAUUAAGAGCCACAGAAGAGGGACUCAUCAGGUGAUCUCUUCCUCAAGUUUUGACUUAUCUGGAUUUCCAGACCAUAAUAAAUUUGAACCUUGAACCAUAAUGUUUGUUAACCAGAAAGGAAUCCUUCAAAAGUAGCAUUACUUACAUUUCUGGAUAUUCCAGUUCCCAAGCAUCAAUCUAUUUGAGAGCCUUACUAAGAUCUUUACCCCAAAGAUUCUACAGACACUGAGUACCACUGCUGCCAUUUGGAUGAAAAGCAUUUCUCUUCAGAGGUUCGGAACUAAAAUAUAGUACAGAGUAUCACACCAUGAUCUUCAAAGCUACUUGUUGCUUCUAAAAAUGUCCCUCAUUAUAGUUAUGAAACAACUAAAAAUCUGAUCCUUUGACCUGUGAUACUGUCAGAAAAUGAGGCAAAGGUUUGCAGAUAACAUGUGCUUUCUUCCCCAAAUUUCUUACUUGUCACAUUCUAGAAAGACUGCAGUUUUCUGAAUAGAAAGUCCAACAUCUAAAAAUAAGGUAUCCAAGACCACUCAUCUUCUGUGCAAAUCUCAGCCCCAAAUGACCUUCCCUGAGAUUACUCACAACUGUACCCAGAAAAACAAAACUCUGGUAUUUUUGGAGAGAAAAGCUGUUCCUACUCAGGAUCAUAUGCUCCUUCCCAGAUUAGAUUAUAGCUUUCAUCAUCAGGCAAGUACAAUCUUACAUUUAUAACCAGUUUGUUAAAAUAAAUUGUUUUCUUUUUUGUUGUUGUUGUUGUCUGUUUUGUUUUUUAAAGUCUAAUUUUGGCAAAUUAGAUUUUUUUCCUCAACUGAGCUACAUGCAAGCUUGAAAUCCAAAUGUUCCUUCCGACUAUGACUAUAUAAGCGCUUAUCACAUACUGUGCUUCAGCAACAAAUACAGAUCUGCAGCAUAUGACGCAAAGUGAUAGCAGAAGAUUCCAGGUGACACAUUUUGGAAAUCUAUCUUGUCUAUUUUGGAGACUAGAUGAGUGUAUCUAUUGCUUUAUAUGCAUUUGUACAAGCAAAAGAAAAAUUUGCUGUGCCAGAUGCUUGAAAAUAAGUCAGAUUGCUGUAAAAUAGCAUAAUUAAUUCAUCACACUGAACAAAGCAAACUUACUCCUUCUCAUAGAUAAGUAUAAAGAACAUAUAUUCUGUACAUAUGUGUGUGUGUGGAUAUACAUCUGUAUAAAAUAUAUACAUCAUCAUAAACUUUUUGGAAACCUUGUGUUCAAAGAUAUGGAAAAUGAUAUGAAUAAAUUAAAUGAAGUCACUCAAAAAUUAAAUGGCACCUAAUUUUUUAAACCACCAGCACAGAUUUGCUGCAACGAAGACUUUAAAACAUAUGCUUUACCACAAGCAACUGUUUAGAAAUCUGAGUCUUCACACUUGACAUAUUCAACUUGUUAUGCCAUGGCAGAUGAGGACUCACAUUUUACUGGAACUGUAAGAUGUUAAGACAUUGUUAACAUAAACGGUUUAACAUUUAUUCUGUAGUUUAUAUUGCCAAAUAUCAGCAUCAAAUAUGAUGUAGCUUGACAGUCAUUUUUGCCUGUUCAGGGCUGGAUGCAACUAUGCUGAUGAUGGGCUGCUGGUAAAUAGGAAUGCACAUUAAUGGUGCUAAUGAGAGGAGACAGGCAAUUACAGUUCUCUAUGUCAUGCCAAAAAAUCCACCCAGAAUAACAAUCCCAAUACAAUGAUCCUACCUUCUGAUAGACAUUUUUUUAAGACAAAGUGAUAAAACAUAAAGCAUCUUUCUAUAUACAAUGUGGUUCUGUGAAAUGCCAUUUUAACACUAAAAGUAAGUACAUUUUCACAGACAAUAAGGAAUUUCCCCAGAGAUAUUCUUUCUUGUCCCUACAAAUUACGUGCAACAAUUAUUUAAAAUACAUCCUAAGAGGCCAAUCUUCCUCUUACUACCUGUAGUAUGAAAAUAACUUUUGCAGUGUGUUGUUUCAAUAAAACAAGCCAGACAAACCCUCCCCUUCCCACUUCACUGUAAAAAGUGGAGUUAAACCUGAGAAAAUAGUAACGGAGCUCACCUUGCUAGCUGCCAAAACACACAUAGGGCUUCCUGUGGAGAUAAAGGAGAGCUGUCUCUGAAGCCACAACAGUUCUUUCUGAGAUUGUUUCAGUAGCUCUUCCGUGUCACCUGGCUUCUGCCCCAUCAGCCCUUCCUGCAUGACAGGAGAUUUUCAAAUUCUGUUUCGAAACCAGAAAUAUUGUGAAUUCAAACACAAAACCUUUUUUACACAUGAUAGUUUGGAAAAUAUUUAAUGUCAAUUAGCUGUCUGUUUGGACC